rnacentral:rRNA from 1 species
UACGUAGGCAGCAAGCGUUGUUCGGAGUUACUGGGCGUAAAGGGUGUGUAGGCGGUUGGAUAAGUGUGGUGUGAAAUCUCCCGGCUCAACUGGGAGGGUGCGCUACAAACUGUCUGACUAGAGUGCGGGAUGGGAAAGUGGAAUUCCUGGUGUAGCGGUGAAAUGCGUAGAUAUCAGGAGGAACACCGAUGGCGAAGGCAGCUCGCUGGGACGGUACUGACGCUGAGACGCGAAAGCGUGGGGAGCAAACAGG